CAGCCGCCGCGGGAAUACCGAGGGUGCGAGCGUUAAUCGGAUUUACUGGGCGUAAAGCGUGCGUAGGCGGCUUCUUAAGUCGGAUGUGAAAUCCCUGAGCUUAACUUAGGAAUUGCAUUCGAUACUGGGAAGCUAGAGUAUGGGAGAGGAUGGUAGAAUUCCAGGUGUAGCGGUGAAAUGCGUAGAGAUCUGGAGGAAUACCGAUGGCGAAGGCAGCCAUCUGGCCUAAUACUGACGCUGAGGUACGAAAGCAUGGGGAGCAAACAGGAUUAGAUACCCGGGUAGUCCCUGUCUCUUAUAA
rnacentral:rRNA from 1 species